UGAUCCUGGCUCCUCCCACGGACCUUUGGUGUAGCAGAACCAGCAACGAAUAGAUCUGGAGUCAUCUGGACAUGAUCCAAGGCCCUUGACAAAAUCAGCCUGGCUGCUGUCUUCUUCAUCAGCCUUUCGUUCCAGAUGAAGAACGCCUCUGAAACUACAUCUAAAAAAUCCAAGAUCUGGUACCCAACUAGACCAGAUCUGGACCGAGGUUUUCUAAUUCAU
rnacentral:lncRNA from 1 species